AAUGCCUAGGAAUCUGCCUGGUAGUGGGGGAUAACGCUCGGAAACGGACGCUAAUACCGCAUACGUCCUACGGGAGAAAGCAGGGGACCUUCGGGCCUUGCGCUAUCAGAUGAGCCUAGGUCGGAUUAGCUAGUUGGUGAGGUAACGGCUCACCAAGGCGACGAUCCGUAACUGGUCUGAGAGGAUGAUCAGUCACACUGGAACUGAGACACGGUCCAGACUCCUACGGGAGGCAGCAGUGGGGAAUAUUGGACAAUGGGCGAAAGCCUGAUCCAGCCAUGCCGCGUGUGUGAAGAAGGUCUUCGGAUUGUAAAGCACUUUAAGUUGGGAGGAAGGGCAUUUACCUAAUACGUAAGUGUUUUGACGUUACCGACAGAAUAAGCACCGGCUAACUCUGUGCCAGCAGCCGCGGUAAUACAGAGGGUGCAAGCGUUAAUCGGAAUUACUGGGCGUAAAGCGCGCGUAGGUGGUUUUUUAAGUUGGAUGUGAAAUCCCCGGGCUCAACCUGGGAACUGCAUUCAAAACUGACAAGCUAAGUAUGGUAGAGGGUGGUGGAAUUUCCUGUGUAGCGGUGAAAUGCGGAGAGAUAAUAAGGAACACCAGUGGCGAAGGCGACCCCUGGACUGAUACUGACACUGAUGUGCGAAAGCGUGGGAGCAAACAGGAUUAGAUACCCUGUUAUUC
rnacentral:rRNA from 1 species